GUAGAGGUGACAGACCUAACGAGCUUAGUGAUAGCUGGUUACUUAAGAAAAGGAUCUUAGUCCCCCCUAAAUUUUUUAUAAUAUUUACAAAUAGAAACUAAAAUUUAGAGUAAUUCAAAUAAGGUACAGCCUAUUUGAAUCAGGAUACAACCUUCACAAACGGGUAACUAAACUUUUAUGUAGCUAAGUAGGCCUAAAAGCAGCCACCUUCAAAAAGCGUCAAAGCUUAUCUACAAAUUUUCUUAAUCCCCCUAAUCUUUAAAAACCCUUAAUCUUUAUUAAGUAACUCUAUAAAAUUAUAGAACCUAUUAUGUUAAAACUAGUAACAAGAACUAGAACUUCUCUUUAAUGUAAGUGUAAAUCAGAUUGGACAAACCACUGAUUUUUAACAUUUGGAACCAAAGUAACAACUUAUCAAGAAAACCUUACCUCACACAAUGUUAACCUGACACAAGAACAUUUUAAGACAGAUUUAAAGGAAAAGAAGGAACUCGGCAAACAUUAACCUCGCCUGUUUACCAAAAACAUCGCCUCUUGAAAACCAUAUAAGAGGUCCAGCCUGCCCAGUGACUCUGUUCAACGGCCGCGGUAUCCUAACCGUGCGAAGGUAGCGUAAUCACUUGUUCUUUAAAUGAGGACUAGUAUGAAUGGCAUUACGAGGGUUAUACUGUCUCCUCUCCCUAAUCAGUGAAACUAAUCCCCUCGUGAAGAAGCGAGGAUAAACCUAUAAGACGAGAAGACCCUAUGGAGCUUUAAACUCUCAGCAAUUAUUUUUCUACACCAACCUUAAGGUUAUUACACUAACUUUAAUAAUAUGCCUGUCAGUUUUCGGUUGGGGUGACCGCGGAGUAAAAUCCACCCUCCGCAAUGAACAUUAACAAGCAAAAAACUACAAUUUUAUGCAUCAAAAAAUUGACAGUAUUGACCCAACACUUUGAUCAACGAACCAAGUUACCCUAGGGAUAACAGCGCAAUCCAUCUCAAGAGCUCAUAUCGACAGAUGGGUUUACGACCUCGAUGUUGGAUCAGG
rnacentral:rRNA from 1 species